rnacentral:piRNA from 1 species
CCCAAGUGGGAGAGGCCCCUAAGCCUCUGAGC